rnacentral:lncRNA from 1 species
GGUGUGAUGGGCCUACCUCCUGGUGUCAGGCCUCCUAUGGUCCCCCAGUGGGGAUCUCCCCUGGGAGACAGACUCCAGUGGGCAUAUCCCCUCUGGGAAUGCAGCCUCCUCCCCAUGGGAUGCGAGGCCGUCUUUGACCCUUGGCCACAGAGUAUGGAAGUAGCUCCACAGAGACAUGGGCUCAACUCCUCAGGGCCACAUUACCACAGACCUAUUUGUUUGUUAUGCUGCUGUUCACGGAGUCUCUCCAGAUUGUCUGGUUUUCCUUACAGAGCCCCAUCC